UUUCUUCCGGUUUCUCGGUACUUCUCUUUGCUUUAUUUCCAUCUUCUCCCGUGUUCAUAUUGGACAGAUGUCGGUCGACACGGAUAAGCAUGCUGCGUCACCUCAUCCGCACGCGACUGCCAUUUCCGGUGCCAAGAGCGUUCUCUCUUCCUCAACCUCUUGCCUCCCCGCAUCUUCUGCUUAAGCAUUUCAAUCCCCGCUGUUCCGUCAUCUCAGACCCAACUCCUCCCACCACUUACACCGACACCCACAUGGAUCCUAAUCCUACAGGCUCCAUUGUCUUCUCCACUCUUGAUAGGCCCCAUUAUGGAUUCGACCUCUUCUCUGUCGAGCUCGGCCCCGCCACUACUCUGGGUUCCGAGCGUCGCCUCUCCGACGCCAUAUCCAUCAACUUCAACGGUCAUUUCGUCGACGAUGAUCAGACCCUCGUCUUCAUCUCCGAGCGAACAGGAUCUUCCCGUAUCUACCUGUCUAGGCCUGGAUUCUCCAGUCCAAAAGCACUUCCUAAUAUACCCACUAGCCUCUUCCACGACCGCCCCGUCAUCCACAACGGCCAUCUCUACUUCAUCUCAGCCCACGAGCAACCCGAUCGACCCUUUAAAAGCUGGUGCGCUCUCUACUCGACCCGGGUCGAUGAGUUGGAUGUUACUCGGCUCACCCCGUACGGUACUGUCGAUUACAGUCCCGCUGUUUCUCGGUCCGGUAAAUUCAUCGCCGUUGCGUCAUACGGGGCUCGACUUUGGGACGGUGAGUUCUUCGAGCUUCACACCAAUAUAGUUGUGUUUCCACAAUCUGACCCGAAUAACCGGGUGACCGUGUGCGAACGAGGCGGCUGGCCCACUUGGUCCGGGGACUCCACCAUCUACUUUCACCGCGAAGCGGACGAUGGUUGGUGGAGCAUUUUUAGGUUGGAUCUGCCGGAAAAUCUCGAGCUUUCUUCGGAACUUCAUAACACUGUCACUCGGGUCACCCCUCCGGGGCUCCAUUGCAUCACUCCGGCCGCCUUGCACGACGGUAAACGGAUUGCUGUUGCGACCCGCCGGUGUGAAAGGGAGUUCAGACACAUUGAGAUCUUCGACACUGAAUCGAAGACAUUCUCCCCAGUGACGGAGUCGCUGAAUCCGAAUAUAAGCCACUACAACCCUUUUGUCUCUCCCGGUUCCCGGUUCCUUGGGUACCAUCGGUUCCGAGGUGAGUCAACAGAAGGCGUGUCGACGAUUCCAUAUAUCGAGUCAAUGAUGUCUCCGAUUAAGCAACUCCGAAUGUUCAGGAUAAACGGCUUUUUCCCUUCGUAUUCUGCCGAUGGUAAGUAUAUCGCGUUCAAUCACGACUUUGGUUCGAAUUCUAGCCUGAAGAUACUAAAAUCGGACGGUACGAAGCGGUGGACCCUGAUCAAGGGCCGUACAGCUUUUGGCAACUCGUGCAGCCCCGCAGAGAAACACGUUAUAUACACAUCGUUGGGGCCUAUAUUCAGGUCAGUGACAGAGACGGUCCAGAUCGCAAGGGUCGAAUUCAACCCGGUAGAUCUAGACGGCGAUGGCGAGGACGUGAAGUGCAACGUGAAGAUUUUAACAAAAGAGGAGACAGGGAAUAACGCCUUCCCGGCCUGUUCACCGGACGGCAAGUCCGUCGUGUUCCGGUCUGGAAGGUCUGGGCACAAGAAUUUGUACAUAGUGGACUCUAUCGAUGGCGAGUUCAACGGCGGAAUACGUCGGUUAACGGACGGCGCGUGGAUCGAUACCAUGCCCAGCUGGUCACCUAAAGGAGAUCUUAUUGCGUUUUCAUCCAAUAGACACAAUCCGGACAACAGCCGAAAGUUCGGCCUUUACGUGGUCAAGCCCGACGGCUCCGAUCUGCGUAGGAUCUACGUGGCGGGACCUGAGGGUUCGAAUGAAGCUGACAUGGAGAGGAUCAACCACGUCUACUUUAAUAAGGACGGGGAGUGGCUGCUGUUCACGGCUAACUUGGGCGGGGUGUCGACCGAGCCGGUGUCGUGGCCCAAUCAAUUUCAGCCAUACGGUGAUUUGUACGUGGUGAGGUUGGACGGGAGUGGACUGAGGAGGCUGACUUGCGAUGGGUACGAGAACGGGACGCCAGCAUGGCACUCGGGAGAUGAUGAUGAGCUGGACAUGGGGCGCUUGACUCUGGGAAGCGAGGUUGGAGGGGAUCAGCUAAGAGGGGAGUUCAGGGAGCUACGUUGGCUCUCUUGUGAAUUUGUGAAGCAGUAGACUUUAAUCUAUUACUGCGCAAGGAAAUUGCCAUUUCAGUAGAAACAUGUUCUGCAACUUCUGGGGAACUUGGAAGAAUCUAGGGCAUUGAAGAAUGAUAUAGAACAGUGCGACUGUGGGGGCCAUAUGAGGAUGAGCAAAAUUUCGUCCCAGUGAUUUUAUACUCUCACAAAACCACGAUCCUUUCUUGAGCAUAAACAUGUGCAGACACUGUACAAUUUUGAAGGCUGAUUUUAUUCACGAAUGCUAAAAAUUGCUACUCCAGCUUCUUUUAUGCAGCUAGUGGUUAGGUUAGGUUAAUUAUACUACUAAGAGAGGGAGUGUCGAAGUUUUGGUGAUAAUGGUGGUAGUGGAAAUAGUGCUAAUGAUUAUACUUUGGGUGGUGAUGGUUUAGUGUGGAUGGUGUAUACUAUUGAGUGGCAGCUUCUCUGCUUGUGGUAGAGUUGGCAGUGAAGGGUGGUGUGAUUAAUGUCCCUUCACCCUAACACGGGUACUUGCAUCUAAGAUUCUGAAAAGUACUUUCAAAGGGGCAUUAUGGAAUUACCGCAUGUAACAAUCGAUGGGAAAACCAGCAUAAGGUUUUUUUAUUAGGUAGUAUUCAAGUUAAUAACAUUUAGUUUCUGAUACCGGUUUUAAUUUUUUUAGGGUUCUUAGUUUCUUUUUUAUAUCCAACUAUAUUGCCAUGUACAUAUGAUAUAAGUUCCUGGGCAAGUGCUAUACGAUGUGAUGGCAUAUUACUUUAAGGAUUCUCACUGUAUAUUAGACAGCAAGAACAAUCUAUUGCUCGAAAUUACAAUAGAUGGGGAUAUAAAAUGCUUAUGUGAAAGGGCUGUUACUGAACUAGUAGAUACGGUUGUGGAUCCAAAAGCAGUAGAAGUGGUAGUAGCAUACCUUCCAUGUCAAGAGAUAGAGACAAGUGAUGGCUUUCCUUGUACAAUAAGCCUAGUAGAUCCAGUGGAUUAUGCUCGCUCACAUGAUUGGGAUUCAGUUUAUGGCAUGAGGUUCAGUUCCUUGUGAAGAAGCUUACCUGGAUGGGAAACACUUUGCCAGUGGAAACACUUCAGGUGGCAACAUUUGUGGCCGAUAACCAAAAUUCGAGAGGUCUAGCUGUAGCAUCAUGUUGGCAUCAUCUUUGCUAGUGGAAAUACUUCAGGUAACAAAUUUCUCCAGCCUUAAUUAUGUGCUCCGACCUUACGAUUUUGUUAAAUUGGCCACAAAAAUGGGUUUAAAUUUGGAGGGGAAAAAAAAGAGGAGAAAAAAGGUCAGUGCAAAUGUAAAAUAUGGAAAGCUAAACUGAUACAUGUUUUCAUUUUUGAAAAAUCUCACAAUUUUAGGACGAGUCAAAAGGGAAUCAUCUACGUGUAAGUAAUAUGGACGGAGUGGGUAUAUAUUAGUAGCAGUUGGUCAUGUAUUUUAUUUGUAGAUAACUAUCAUUGUGAAAAAAACUAUCAUUGUGAAUUAACUAGUUCUGCGACUCUGGCUGCCUUGCUGAUGACAAGAAGUCUCUCUCAAAUUGGCAUCGCCAAGGAAGAAGAACUUGCAAUUACAUGGUUCACCGGCUGGGAGGUAAUGCUGUUCAUGGUUAAGAUCUUCCUAAUAAUAUUACUUAUCAAUUUAAGCAAUCAACGAGAGAAUUUAGUAGGAAAUAAGGUGAGUAUCUGAUGUGAUACCUAAUGUGAUAAAGAUAAGGGUAGAUGUAUGGGAUCCUACAUUAUUUGAGAAUGAGAAGUUUUUCUUUAUAAGAUUUCAAUGGGGUUCUAAUUGUAUGAAUGAUUACUCAUUUUGGAGUAUAGGUCAUGUGGUUUGGACCUUCUAUUGGAGUGUUAUAAAUGGUAUUAGAACUUAUUCCAACUAGAAAUGUGGAUUUGAGUUGUGCCACUUACGACAAACUCAUCUGACGAGGAAGUCGAGAAUUUAAGGAGUAGAUUGUGAUAUCACAUAUGAUAAAGAUAAGAGUAGCUGGUAUAUGAGAUUCUACAUUGUUUGGGAAUAAAAAGUUUUUGCUCUUUAUAAGAUUCCAUUAGAGUUCCAAUUAUAUUAUUGACUAAUUUUUUUGAAGUAUAUGCUAUGUGAUUUUGGUCUUCUAUUGGAGCGUUACACUCAUCCUUGAGGAGAAGCUAGACCUUGCCCAAAAGUUUUCCUGCAUUUUGAUCCCUAAUUCUUCGUAGUUCCAAAUUUCAAUUUUGUAAAAGCUAAUGGUAGAAAGGUUCAAAGUUUAGUAUGGAGUUUGGUUUCACUUUCAGAAACCACGAGAGAGUAGUUAUUCAUAUUGUUUCAAGAAAUAAUACGCCCUCUUCCAAAGAAAUAUUUUCCCUUUGUCCGAAAUGUUCUAACUGCUACAUAGUGGGAGUUACAUUGGAUUAAUUGCUGAUCAAUCAGUGCUUAUUAA